rnacentral:sRNA from 1 species
UAGUGGUAUCUAAUGGCCAAAUACCAGC